AGAGUUUGAUCAGGGCUCAGAUUGAACGCUGGCGGCAGGCUUAACACAUGCAAGUCGAGCGGCAGCGGAAAGAAGCUUGCUUCUUUGCCGGCGAGCGGCGGACGGGUGAGUAAUGUCUGGGGAUCUGCCCGAUGGAGGGGGAUAACUACUGGAAACGGUAGCUAAUACCGCAUAAUGUCGCAAGACCAAAGUGGGGGACCUUCGGGCCUCACACCAUCGGAUGAACCCAGAUGGGAUUAGCUAGUAGGUGGGGUAAUGGCUCACCUAGGCGACGAUCCCUAGCUGGUCUGAGAGGAUGACCAGCCACACUGGAACUGAGACACGGUCCAGACUCCUACGGGAGGCAGCAGUGGGGAAUAUUGCACAAUAGGGGAAACCCUGAUGCAGCCAUGCCGCGUGUGUGAAGAAGGCCUUCGGGUUGUAAAGCACUUUCAGCGGGGAGGAAGGCAAUGGCGUUAAUAGUGUCAUUGAUUGACGUUACCCGCAGAAGAAGCACCGGCUAACUCCGUGCCAGCAGCCGCGGUAAUACGGAGGGUGCGAGCGUUAAUCGGAAUUACUGGGCGUAAAGCGUACGCAGGCGGUCUGUUAAGUCAGAUGUGAAAUCCCCGGGCUUAACCUGGGAACUGCAUUUGAAACUGGCAGGCUAGAGUCUCGUAGAGGGGGGUAGAAUUCCAGGUGUAGCGGUGAAAUGCGUAGAGAUCUGGAGGAAUACCGGUGGCGAAGGCGGCCCCCUGGACGAAGACUGACGCUCAGGUACGAAAGCGUGGGGAGCAAACAGGAUUAGAUACCCUGGUAGUCCACGCUGUAAACGAUGUCGAUUUGAAGGUUGUGGUCUUGAGCCGUGGCUUUCGGAGCUAACGCGUUAAAUCGACCGCCUGGGGAGUACGGCCGCAAGGUU
rnacentral:rRNA from 1 species